ACAGGCAUGGACGCCGCCGUGGUGACCAGGCCACUGAUCAUACUGGCGCAGAAAUGACACAGGAUGUCAUCACCAAAGUAGCCUAAAGGGCACAAGAGGCAAGUGUGUGCGUGUGUUUCUACCUUCAAUGAUGUGUUUCCGCGACAGCCCCCGCUCUGUCUCGGCCCUGCAAAAUGCAACGUAAAGUCAACAUCUGAGUUUGUCUAGUGGCUGUGGCUGUACUCACUGUCCUCCCCAGUAGAUUUUCGUGGUCACCACAUAGCUGGACCGCCUGUUCAACAACAACAACAAUCACAGCAUCAACAACAAGGAGGACACCCAACAGACCAAAGUGGAGGUGCUGUGGGCAUGUUCACUCACCUGUAGGGCAUGCCGCUGUCCUCCAUGGUGACGUCACACUCCCUCAUGUAGAUUUCCAGCCGCCGCCUCUCCAUCACCUUCUUGGCCGCC